UACGUAGGGGGCAAGCGUUGUCCGGAAUCAUUGGGCGUAAAGAGCGUGUAGGCGGUCCGGUAAGUCGGUUGUGAAAGUCCAGGGCUCAACCCUGGGAUGCCGACCGAUACUGUCGGACUAGAGUUCGGAAGAGGCGAGUGGAAUUCCCGGUGUAGUGGUGAAAUGCGUAGAGAUGGGAGGAACACCAGUGGCGAAGGCGGCUCGCUGGGCCGGACCUGACGCUGAGACGGCGAAGGC
rnacentral:rRNA from 1 species